GGUACUUCUCAGUCUGUGGCACUCAGCCUUGAGGGCACUUUCUGGUGUCAGAAUGAAAGUGCUGUCAUAGCUGAGGUCCAAUGACUGAGGCGAGCACC
ensembl:miRNA